CCAAAGCCUUGUCUUUAUGUUCUUGAUGAGCCUUUUGAAGAUGUUAUUUAUCCAAAAGGGGAUCCUGAUGCUGUUUCAAUUAGUAAGAGAGAUGUGGAGCUUCUGCAGCCUGAGACAUUCAUCAAUGAUACUAUCAUUGACUUUUAUAUAAAAUUUUUAAAGAACAAAAUUCAACCAGAAUCGGUUCCACUUCUUCAAUAGUUUUUUCUUUCGGAAGCUUGCCGAUCUAGACAAGGACCCAAG
rnacentral:misc_RNA from 1 species